AUCACACCAACAUCCCUAUCUUUAUUCGAUCAAGCCUCACAUCUAACACAUCGAUAAUUUUUCAGAUCUCUUGAGUUUUGUUUACCUGGACUUGUUCCAUCCUCGUUUGCGGCCUUUCCCGAAGACUCCGUAACAUGUAACAACGUCGAUGAGGACUGUGUCUGCUAUGGUAGCUGUCGUAUCCGUUGCUAGUUGUGGCCGUUCGUCGAAGGGCAAAAACUGCGUGAUGACCGUUAAUCGGUAGCCCACAUCUGCAUCCAGGUGUAUGGCGAUAGCUGCGCUUUCAUCAAUGAACGAUCACUCACCAACUACGCCCA